rnacentral:lncRNA from 1 species
AUGCUUGUGAAGAGUCUCAAAAGAGACCCUCUCUCUCUCUCUCUCUCCCACUAGACCAUGAACUCUACGAAUGGGGGGCUGAGACUGCCCCAGCCAUGUGGCUUUGACAGAAGGAGUCUGGAACUGCCAGAAAGCCCCAGGAAGUGUCGCCAGCUCAGAUCUUACCGUGAUCAGUGCAGUAGCUAGGAGCUCUCGAAGCCACAUGGACAGGGCACGAGAGAGAGAAUGCCAUAGCCACCCUUGAAAUGUUGUUUGAGAGGCAGUGGACAGUCAUCCUCCGGCCAUCAGAGUGACAGAGAGGCAGGUGGUGUCAGCACACAUCAGGCCCUCGGGACCCAGUGACUGUCACUCUCCACAUCUCCCAACAGGACAGCAUAAAUUAUGUGUCCGUCUCCAGCAAUGCAUCCUUUCGGGGCAGAGAGCAGCCGACAUUGAACGUGCCACUGACCUAGAACAGGCUUAUGAAUCUCCUGAUGCUGUUCGCACUUGUGAAAUAAAAAUGAAGCCUUAGGGCUACACUUAUUUAUAGGUGGUUUCGCUUACUUAAAAAAUGCCACCAGCCUGAGAGUUAGGAGGCCUGUGUUAAGAUGAUAU